rfam:Mesocricetus auratus contig118043, whole genome shotgun sequence.
GGAGAGGUGGCUCAGUGGUUUAGAGCACUGGCUGCUUUUCCAGAGGACCUGGGUUCAAUUCCCAGCAACCACA